AGAAUCAACGCUGGCGGCGUGCCUAACACAUGCAAGUCGAACGAGAAAGGGGAGGCAAUCCCUGAGUAAAGUGGCGCACGGGUGAGUAACACGUGACCUAACCUACCCUUGAGUGGGGGAUAACCUGAGGGGAAACCUUAGCUAAUACCGCAUAAUACCCACGGGUCAAAGGAGCAAUUCGGCUCGUAGGAGGGGGUCGCGGGCCGAUUAGUUAGUUGGCGGGGUAAUGGCCCACCGAAGACGAUGAUCGGUAU
rnacentral:rRNA from 1 species